AGCCAGUGUGACAUAGUGGUUUGAGUGUUGGACUAUGACUCUAGAGACCAGGGUUCAAAUCCCCACUUGGCUA